AGAGUUUGAUCAUGGCUCAGAACGAACGCUGGCGGCGUGGAUUAGGCAUGCAAGUCGAACGCGAAAGAGGGGGCAACUCCUCGAGUAGAGUGGCGAACGGGUGAGUAACGCGUGAAGAACCUGCCUUCGACAGGGGGAUAACACUCCCAACGGGGUGCUAAUACCGCAUGAGACCACGGAGCUGCAUGGCUCUGAGGUCAAAGGUGGCCUCUAUUUAUAAGCUACCGGUCGAAGAUGGCUUCGCGUCCCAUUAGCUAGUUGGCGGUGUAAGAGACCACCAAGGCGACGAUGGGUAGCUGGUCUGAGAGGAUGGUCAGCCACACUGGGACUGAGAUACGGCCCAGACUCCUACGGGAGGCAGCAGUCGAGAGGCUUUGGCAAUGGGGGAAACCCUGACCAAGCGACGCCGCGUGGAGGAUGAAGGCCUUUGGGUUGUAAACUCCUUUUGUCGGGGAAGAAACGCGAUCAGGUGAACAAUCUGGUCGUUUGACGGUACCCGGCGAAUAAGCUCCGGCUAACUCCGUGCCAGCAGCCGCGGUAACACGGGGGGAGCAAGCGUUGUUCGGAAUCACUGGGCGUAAAGGGCGUGCAGGCGGCCUGGUAAGUGGGAUGUGAAAUGCCCCGGCUCACCCGGGGACCGGCAUCCCAAACUGCUAGGCUUGAGUAUGGGAGAGGAUGAGGGAAUUCCUGGUGUAGCGGUGAAAUGCGUAGAUAUCAGGAGGAACACCGGUGGCGAAGGCGCUCAUCUGGCCCAAUACUGACGCUGAGGCGCGAAAGCUAGGGGAGCAAACGGGAUUAGAUACCCCAGUAGUCC
rnacentral:rRNA from 1 species